rnacentral:rRNA from 1 species
GAUGAAUGCUGGCGGCGUGCCUAACACAUGCAAGUCGAGCGGUAAGGCCCCUUCGGGGGUACACGAGCGGCGGACGGCUGAGUAACGCGUGGGAACAUGCCCCAAAGUGAGGGAUAAGCUCCAGAAAUGGAGUCUAAUACCGCAUAUGAUCUUCGGAUUAAAGGAUUUAUCCGCUUUGGGAGUGGCCUGCGUACGAUUAGAUAGUUGGUGAGGUAAUGGCUUACCAAGUCUACGACCGUUAACUGGUCUGAGAGGAUGAUCAGUCAGACUGGAACUGAGACACGGUCCAGACUCCUACGGGAGGCAGCAGUGAGGAAUCUUCCACAAUGGGCGAAAGCCUGAUGGAGCAACGCCGCGUGCAGGAUGAAGGCCUUCGGGUCGUAAACUGCUUUUAUAAGUGAAGAAUAUGACGGUAACUUAUGAAUAAGCACCGGCUAACUACGUGCCAGCCGCCGCCGUA